AGUGAACGCUGGCGGUAGGCCUAACACAUGCAAGUCGAACGGCAGCACAGUAAGAGCUUGCUCUUAUGGGUGGCGAGUGGCGGACGGGUGAGGAAUACAUCGGAAUCUACUUUUUCGGGGGGGAUAACGAAGGGAAACUUACGCUAAUACCGCAUACGACCUACGGCUGAAAGCAGGGGAUCUUCGCACCUUGCGCGAUUGAAUGCGCCGAUGUCGGAUUAGCUAGUUGGCGGGGUAAAGGCCCACCAAGGCGACGAUCCGUAGCUGGUCUGAGAGGAUGAUCAGCCACACGGGAACUGGGCCAACGUCCAGACUCCUACGGCAGGCAGCAGUGGGGAAUAUUGGACAAUGGGCGCAAGCCUGAUCCAGCCAUACCGCGUGGGUGAAGAAGGCCUUCGGGUUGUAAAGCCCUCUUGUUGGGAAAGAAAAGCAGCAGGUUAAUACCCCGCUGUUCUGACGGUACCCAAAGAAUAAGCACCGGCUAACUUCGUG
rnacentral:rRNA from 1 species